GGGCCCGCACAAGCGGUGGAGCAUGUGGUUUAAUUCGAUGAUACGCGAGGAACCUUACCAGGGCUUAAAUGUAAGUUGCAUAAGUUAGAGAUAGCUUUUUCUUCGGACUACUUACAAGGUGCUGCAUGGUUGUCGUCAGCUCGUGCCGUGAGGUGUCAGGUUAAGUCCUAUAACGAGCGCAACCCCUACCGUUAGUUGCCAGCGUGUAAUGACGGGGACUCUAACGGAACUGCCGGUGCAAACCGUGAGGAAGGUGGGGACGACGUCAAAUCAUCACGGCCCUUACGUCCUGGGCCACACACGUGCUACAAUGGUCAGUACAGAAAGCAGCCACUAUGCGAAUAGGAGCUAAUCUUCAAAGCCGAUCUCAGUUCGGAUUGGAGUCUGCAACUCGACUCUAUG
rnacentral:rRNA from 1 species